GUCUACACUCACCACCCUGAAUGCACCGGAUCUCAUCUCAGAAGCUAAGACAGGUCAAGCCUGGUUGAUAUUUGGAUGAGAGACUGCCUGGGAAUACGGGGGGUUGUAGGCU
ensembl:rRNA 5S_rRNA 5S ribosomal RNA